ACCCAGUAAGGGGUGGAGACUCAAAGCAGCAGAAGGCUGCAGAGCUAGUUUGGAGAAGACACCAGACUCGGAGCUUGGUUGCAUAAGCCCUUAACACCUUGUUAAGGGUUUCUUUUUGUGGUUGUAAUGGGUGAGAGUUCUCCUGGAAACCUUCAUCAUGUUGAAUCCUGUUCAUCAAGCCCUUGGAGUCUUCAGGAGCCAACCCACUUGCAAAGAGGAAUUGGACUUGAAUUGGAAUUGGACAGUAUCAGUAGACUGUAUUGGACUUGAAUUGGAAUUGGACAGUAUCAGUAGACUGUAAAUAUAAGGACUUGAAAAUGCAACCUGAACAGGACCUUGAAGUGUGAUGUUAAAUGUUGAUGUUAUAUGUUAUAUGUUAAGAAAGUAAACCAUUUUGUUUUAAAA